rnacentral:rRNA from 1 species
GAUGAACGCUGGCGGCGUGCCUAAUACAUGCAAGUCGAGCGAACAGACGAGGAGCUUGCUCCUCUGACGUUAGCGGCGGACGGGUGAGUAACACGUGGAUAACCUACCUAUAAGACUGGGAUAACUUCGGGAAACCGGAGCUAAUACCGGAUAAUAUAUUGAACCGCAUGGUUCAAUAGUGAAAGACGGUUUUGCUGUCACUUAUAGAUUGAUCCGCGCCGCAUUAGCUAGUUGGUAAGGUAACGGCUUACCAAGGCAACGAUGCGUAGCCGACCUGAGAGGGUGAUCGGACACACUGGAACUGAGACACGGUCAAGACUCCUACGGGAGGCAGCAGUAGGGAAUCUUCCGCAAUGGGCGAAAGCGUGACGGAGCAACGCCGCGUGAGUGAUGAAGGUCUUCGGAUCGUAAAACUCUGUUAUUAGGGAAGAACAAAUGUGUAAGUAACUAUGCACGUCUUGACGGUACCUAAUCAGAAAGCCACGGCUAACUACGUG